CAAAUAUUUCCUGUUUAUAUUGGUACAUGAUUGGUAUUUGGUAGGCGAUCGCAAAUAUUUCCUGCACAUAUGCUUUUUGUUAGGAAAUUUUGAGACUUUAUUGUGAACUUUUUUGCUAAGGAAAGAAGGAAAUUCACAUGCCAAGUUUAAGCAUUCCCCAAUGUAUCUCAGCCUCCCUCUUCAAAUUGGGGGAAUAUGCUCCAUUUUGUAAAAAAAAUCUCCUUAUUCGUCUAGAUACUGGCUAUGUCAUUUCUAUCUGGCAUAAGUUCAAUACCAAUCACAUAGUUAUAAGGCAUAAAUUCUAGCAUUUUUUUAUCACAGAUGUAUUUUCUACAUAUGGUUCAAUGGAAAAUUUGUUUUCAUACGAAAGAUGACACAACUCACAUGUAUUAUUGUUUUUCAUACCAAAGAUGCAAUUGCUCAAUGAAAGUGAAUUAUUUUCAAAUGUCAAAAUUGACCAUAAGUUGACAAGUAUUCUGCACUAAUUGUACCUAAAUUGAUUUGUAUGGUGAAUUUUAAGGCUUGGUUCAGAUUCUGACGACGAUCUGGUCAGCUAAUACAAAAGCGAGUUAUCAUCUGGCAAUUCCAUACGCCGCUGCCGGGGAGCUGCAACCAACACCUGACAGAGGCUUAUAAAUGCGCUUUCUCCCGUUUUCCCAAACCGGUAUACCCUCGAGCCGCUAACAAAAACUGUGAGGCCCAGGACCAUGUUCAAGUGGUUAGCCUGCAAGUAAAGAAGAGAAGAACAUGAUCAGUUUGCCUAAACCGCUAUCUGGUGCGCUGAUGAAAAGACACGGAAGCACUGGCGUGUGACCUUUGUGAGCUCGAUAGGAUCUGGAAUGACAUGAGGAGAUAUCCAAAGCCAAGGUGCCCUGAUGAAAAAGCACGGAAGUAUUGGCGUGUGACCUUUGUGAGCUCGAUAGGAUCUGGAAUGACAUGAGGACAUAUCCAAAGCCAAGCAUGAAGAUGAAGGACAAGAAGUAAGAAACUGAUGCGAUGUCUUCGACUUGAUGGAGAGCCAACCUGGGAGUCAAAGAAGAGGCGGCAGACCAAUGAGGCAGACCACGGGGCGUCGGCCGAGGCGGCAGACCAAUGAGGGCAGACCACGGGGCGUCGGCGUUGGGAAUCAGCAAGGUCGAUGGAGAGAUUGCAGGCGUCGGCGAAGAGACGGCAGACCACGGGGCGGCGAGGUGGUUGCCGGACGGCAGGCGUCGGAGAAGAGAUGACAGCGUGAGUGUGAGAAGAGACGGCAGCGUGAGGGGGGAGAUGAUUUACUUGUACGUCCUCCCAGCUUUCCUUGUACGUUCAGCUGAUUCAGUUGAUUGUUUCCUUAUACGUUCCGGCUCUGUAGUUCAUUAUACGUCCCACUGUCCCAGCUU